CCUACGGGUGUGUGCAGUGGGGAAUAUUGGACAAUGGGCGAAAGCCUGAUCCAGCCAUGCCGCGUGUGUGAAGAAGGCCUUCGGGUUGUAAAGCACUUUCAGUGGGGAAGAAAGCCUUGGGGCUAAUACCCUCGAGGAAGGACAUCACCCACAGAAGAAGCACCGGCUAACUCCGUGCCAGCAGCCGCGGUAAUACGGAGGGUGCGAGCGUUAAUCGGAAUUACUGGGCGUAAAGCGCGCGUAGGCGGUCUGAUAAGCCGGUUGUGAAAGCCCCGGGCUCAACCUGGGAACGGCAUCCGGAACUGUCAGGCUAGAGUGCAGGAGAGGAAGGUAGAAGUCCCGGUGUAGCGGUGAAAUGCGUAGAGAUCGGGAGGAAUACCAGUGGCGAAGGCGGCCUUCUGGACUGACACUGACGCUGAGGUGCGAAAGCGUGGGUAGCAAACAGGAUUAGAUACCCGAGUAGUC
rnacentral:rRNA from 1 species